rnacentral:rRNA from 1 species
AGUCUUAACCGGGCGUUAAGUUGCAGGGUAUAGACCCGAAACCCGGUGAUCUAGCCAUGGGCAGGUUGAAGGUUGGGUAACACUAACUGGAGGACCGAACCGACUAAUGUUGAAAAAUUAGCGGAUGACCUGUGGCUGGGGGUGAAAGGCCAAUCAAACCGGGAGAUAGCUGGUUCUCCCCGAAAGCUAUUUAGGUAGCGCCUCGUGAAUUCAUCUCCGGGGGUAGAGCACUGUUUCGGCUAGGGGGCCAUCCCGGCUUACCAACCCGAUGCAAACUGCGAAUACCGGAGAAUGUUAUCACGGGAGACACACGGCGGGUGCUAACGUCCGUCGUGAAGAGGGAAACAACCCAGACCGCCAGCUAAGGUCCCAAAGUCAUGGUUAAGUGGGAAACGAUGUGGGAAGGCCCAGACAGCCAGGAUGUUGGCUUAGAAGCAGCCAUCAUUUAAAGAAAGCGUAAUAGCUCACUGGUCGAGUCGGCCUGCGCGGAAGAUGUAACGGGGCUAAACCAUGCACCGAAGCUGCGGCAGCGACGCUGAUGCGUUGUUGGGUAGGGGAGCGUUCUGUAAGCCUGUGAAGGUGGCCUGUGAGGGUUGCUGGAGGUAUCAGAAGUGCGAAUGCUGACAUAAGUAACGAUAAAGCGGGUGAAAAGCCCGCUCGCCGGAAGACCAAGGGUUCCUGUCCAACGUUAAUCGGGGCAGGGUGAGUCGACCCCUAAGGCGAGGCCGAAAGGCGUAGUCGAUGGGAAACGGGUUAAUAUUCCCGUACUUGGUGUUACUGCGAAGGGGGGACGGAGAAGGCUAUGUUGGCCGGGCGACGGUUGUCCCGGUUUAAGCGUGUAGGUGUGUGUUCCAGGUAAAUCCGGUUCACUUUAACACUGAGGCGUGAUGACGAGGCACUACGGUGCUGAAGCAACAAAUGCCCUGCUUCCAGGAAAAGCCUCUAAGCAUCAGGUAACAUCAAAUCGUACCCCAAACCGACACAGGUGGUCAGGUAGAGAAUACCAAGGCGCUUGAGAGAACUCGGGUGAAGGAACUAGGCAAAAUGGUGCCGUAACUUCGGGAGAAGGCACGCUGACAC